AAUGUUCCCAACUAGCUCUUAAAACUUAAAUUAACUUGUUUAUAUUAACCUACAUUCUGACACAUGAUUUGUUACCUCCCACCGUGACACUAACAAAUCUCUCCCACCAGUUUCCUUCCAGAGUUCCUGUCUCUGCCUAUGCUCUCUUGCCUAGCUAUUGGCUGUGCAGCUCUUUAUUAAACCAGUCAGAAGGUACCUUAGAUGUUUGUUAGCAACCAUGUGAGUACUGGGAACUGAACCCACAUCCUCUGGAAGAGCUGCAAGUUCCCUUAACCACGGAUGCAUCUCUCCAGACGUGCCAAAAACAUUUUGAAGAAAAAAAAAAACUGUGCCUCCAACAACUGGUGCUGGGAAAACUGACCUGCACUCUAUCAACUGAACUAUAUCUCCAGCUUGAAAGUAUUUUGUUUUAUUUUCGGAGUGAUUAUUGCUAGUACCUAGAAUCCAGUUGAAUUUUGCUUUGCUAAAGAUUGGGUCGGUCUCUCUCUCUCUCUCUCUCUCUCUCUCUCUCUCUCUCUCUCUCUCUCUCUCUCUCUUCUUGGGUUUUUUUAUUUACAUAAUCAUGUAAUCUUCAAAUAGCGAGUUCCUUUCCACACUGGGUUCUGUUUGUUUAAUGUCCACGUGCACGGGCUAGAAUUUCCUCUCACAGUGUUGAACAAGAAUGAUGAGAACAGACAUUCUUGACCUCAGGGGCAACCUUCCAGCAUUGCACCAUGUUAAGCCAGGCAUCUGCUGUGUUUUUUGUUUUGUUUUUUUGAAGCACUCCAUAGCAAGUUAAGGAAAUAACAUUUGACUCCUAACUUAAAUAGGAUAAGGUCUCACUGUGGGCUCUGGCUGGUCUAGAACUUGCUGUAUAGACCAGGCUGGCCUCAAACUCACAGAGGUUGAUCUACCUCUGCCUUCUGAAUGCUAAAAUGAAAGGUGUGCACCAUGCUUGGCUACUACCCCCAUCUUAGAUGUGAAAGCCAAAAGUCACUUUCCCCUGGGUCACAGACCUUGUCAAGAGCUGGUGACUCCAGAGACUAGUACUUGAGACUCUAAACGGGAACCGUUAGCAAGGCCUCUCCAAUGGGGCUGAGCCAAAGCCUUGGGACAACCUCUGGUUCUUUCCUUUUGGACAUCCAAAUCCAGUCUAAGACCUAGGGAUUCUAGCUCCAGGAACCAAGAAGGACAGUGAUGACUUAGUAAUGGUGCUGAGAGUCUGGGCCUUGUGUCAUGGGGAGGAGCCUUUCCUUAGGGGAGGUUGGGGGACAGGGUGGUCAGGAGAUAAGCACCUCCUCUCGGGGGUCAGUGCUAACUUUGGAGAGUCCUAAUAAUGGGCUGAACUUGCUAAGGCUAGGUCCAACUUGACCUCUAUUAUUAGACUAUAAACUGGGCGUAAUCCCAGUCAUACUGGGGGCUGAGAUUAAGGCUGGAAAGUUAAAGACCAGCCAGGGCAACUUAGUGCAUCAAAAUAAAAAGCAAAGAGGGCUGGGAAUGUAGGAUGUCUGUGUGAGGUUCUGGGAUCAAUGGAACAAAACAAAAACAAAACAAAAAAAACCUGUAAACAAUAACAACCCUUCCCCCAGAUAAAUAAACCAUAUUGAUAUCUCUGCA